GGGCGGGGCCUAUACAUGCAGUCGAGCGGACUUUAAAGCUUGCUUUUAAAGUUAGCGGCGGACGGGUGAGUAACACGUGGGCAACCUGCCUGUAAGACUGGGAUAACUUCGGGAAACCGGAGCUAAUACCGGAUAAUCCUUUUCCUCUCAUGAGGAAAAGCUGAAAGACGGCAUCUCGCUGUCACUUACAAAUGGGCCCGCGGCGCAUUACCUAGUUGGUGAGGUAACGGCUCACCAAGGCAACGAUGCGUACCCAACCUGAAAGGGUGAUCGGCCACACUGGGACUGAAACACGGCCCAAACUCCUACGGGAGGCAGCAGUAGGGAAUCUUCCGCAAUGGACAAAAGUCUGACGGACCAACGCCGCGUGAGUGAUGAAGGUUUUCGGAUCGUAAAGCUCUGUUGUUAGGGAAAAACAAGUACAAAAGUAACUGCUUGUACCUUGACGGUACCUAACCAAAAAGCCACGGCUAACUACGUGCCACCCGCCCGGGUAAAUAA
rnacentral:rRNA from 2 species